CAACAGGGAUUGCCCCAGUAACGGCGAGUGAAGCGGCAAGAGCUCAAAUUUGAAAGCUGGCUCCUUCGGGGUCCGCAUUGUAAUUUGUAGAGGAUGCUUCGGGAGCGGUCCCCAUCUAAGUGCCCUGGAACGGGACGUCAUAGAGGGUGAGAAUCCCGUAUGGGAUGGGGUGUCCGCGCCCGUGUGAAGCUCCUUCGACGAGUCGAGUUGUUUGGGAAUGCAGCUCUAAAUGGGUGGUAAAUUUCAUCUAAAGCUAAAUAUUGGCCGGAGACCGAUAGCGCACAAGUAGAGUGAUCGAAAGAUGAAAAGCACUUUGAAAAGAGAGUUAAAAAGCACGUGAAAUUGUUGAAAGGGAAGCGCUUGCGACCAGACUCGCUCGCGGGGUUCAGCCGGCAUUCGUGCCGGUGUACUUCCCCGCGGGCGGGCCAGCGUCGGUUUGGGCGGUCGGUCAAAGGCCCUCGGAAGGUAACGCCCCUAGGGGCGUCUUAUAGCCGAGGGUGCAAUGCGACCUGCCUAGACCGAGGAACGCGCUUCGGCUCGGACGCUGGCAUAAUGGUCGUAAACGACCCGUCUUGAAACACGGACCAAGGAGUCUAACAUCUACGCGAGUGUUCGGGUGUCAAACCCGUGCGCGAAGUGAAAGCGAACGGAGGUGGGAACCCUCACGGGUGCACCAUCGACCGAUCCUGAAGUCUUCGGAUGGAUUUGAGUAAGAGCGUAGCUGUUGGGACCCGAAAGAUGGUGAACUAUGCCUGAAUAGGGCGAAGCCAGAG
rnacentral:rRNA from 1 species